rnacentral:rRNA from 1 species
AUUGAACGCUGGCGGCAGGCCUAACACAUGCAAGUCGAGCGGAUGAAGGGAGCUUGCUCCUGGAUUCAGCGGCGGACGGGUGAGUAAUGCCUAGGAAUCUGCCUGGUAGUGGGGGAUAACGUCCGGAAACGGGCGCUAAUACCGCAUACGUCCUGAGGGAGAAAGUGGGGGAUCUUCGGACCUCACGCUAUCAGAUGAGCCUAGGUCGGAUUAGCUAGUUGGUGGGGUAAAGGCCUACCAAGGCGACGAUCCGUAACUGGUCUGAGAGGAUGAUCAGUCACACUGGAACUGAGCCACGGUCCAGACUCCUACGGGAGGCAGCAGUGGGGAAUAUUGGACAAUGGGCGAAGGCCUGAUCCAGCCCUGCCGCGUGUGUGAAGAAGGUCUUCGGAUUGUAAAGCACUUUAAGUUGGGAGGAAGGGCAGUAAGUUAAUACCUUGCUGUUUUGACGUUACCAACAGAAUAAGCACCGGCUAACUUCGUG